rnacentral:lncRNA from 1 species
CCAGUUGAGAAACUUAACAAACACUACUCUGAAAAUGAUAGAUACCACCGUUAUGUUUCCAAACCAAUCCAAUUUUGAAUGACAAUUACAUCUGAUUGGAUAAAAAACAAGGAAGAAUAAAAGUUCCAUCUCCCAUCUCAAAAAAUAACAUAUCCUCUUAAUAUCAAUGAGCCCUAUAUUUGCACAAGUUCCCAUGUUGAUGCUCCAUUUCUCAUUGCAUGCAAGAAAAGAAUUACAAAAAGAGAAUAUAUCCUAAGGUAAAUGUGCAUUACUGAGAAAAGCUUCAUGCAUCUUCUAGCUUUAUGUUUCAUCUUCUUCCAAAAGGCUUGACGAUUUUCACUUUAGACUCCCUUGUUUAAGAUGAUAAGCCUUUUAACACAUAUUGACGAUCUGCAGCAAGCCACACGCAUGAGCAUGCACAUAACCCUACAUAUCCCAUGGCAACAAAUGUUCAUAACUUCGCAUGGUUUGGUCCAGCAAUACCAUGGUUAGUGCAUUAUAAUAUUGUAAAGCAUACAAAGUAUCCAUUCAGUUUAAACACUAAACAUUAACUACAGCUCAUCUUCAUUUCACAAGGAAAACAAGGAGACGAGAACUGACCCCAAUCCUCCAUCUUCACCGUAAAAUUUCAUGCAUUAUUUCAUGAACCAAAAUUUCAAAAUCACUUGAGCUGCUGCACAACAAGGUGAGGUCCUGCAAGCCCAGUGAGAUAUGAAAAGCCAUUAGUUAAUAUUAAUGAAAAGUUCAAGUUAUACUUGUGUCUAUUUGAAGCAGUCAUUCCAAGAGCAUUAACAAGAUAUUUGGUCAUGAUUUAUAGUUUUGUCUUUUUUUCCCUUUCUGAUCCGUUUUUUAAAUGAGUAAAGUGCGUGUUUUCUUCAUGUUUGAAGUAUCAAAGAACUAUGCACAAAAAAUAACUGCACCAAAUCUACAACAUAAUGCCCAAAAGUAGACCAACAUUCUGAUACUAAAAGUGAUCAAAUGAAGGCUCCCCCCCCAUUAGAUGCUCGCAUUAGUAUUCCACUAAUUGCAUUUUCA